CCUACGGGAGGCUGCAGUGGGGAAUAUUGGACAAUGGGGGCAACCCUGAUCCAGCCAUGCCGCGUGUGUGAAGAAGGCCCUCGGGUUGUAAAGCACUUUCAGUGAGGAAGAACGCCUGGUGGUUAAUACCCAUCAGGAAAGACAUCACUCACAGAAGAAGCACCGGCUAACUCCGUGCCAGCAGCCGCGGUAAUACGGAGGGUGCGAGCGUUAAUCGGAAUUACUGGGCGUAAAGCGCGCGUAGGUGGCUUGAUAAGCCGGUUGUGAAAGCCCAGGGCUCAACCUGGGAACGGCAUCCGGAACUGUCAAGCUAGAGUGCAGGAGAGGAAGGUAGAAUUCCCGGUGUAGCGGUGAAAUGCGUAGAGAUCGGGAGGAAUACCAGUGGCGAAGGCGGCCUUCUGGACUGACACUGACACUGAGGUGCGAAAGCGUGGGUAGCAAACAGGAUUAGAUACCCUUGUAGUC
rnacentral:rRNA from 1 species